rnacentral:rRNA from 1 species
GAUGAACGCUGGCGGCGUGCCUAAUACAUGCAAGUCGAGCGAACAGACGAGGAGCUUGCUCCUCUGACGUUAGCGGCGGACGGGUGAGUAACACGUGGAUAACCUACCUAUAAGACUGGGAUAACUUCGGGAAACCGGAGCUAAUACCGGAUAAUAUAUUGAACCGCAUGGUUCAAUGGUGAAAGACGGAUUUGCUGUCACUUAUACAUGGAUCCGCGCCGCAUUAGCUAGUUGGUAAGGUAACGGCUUACCAAGGCGACGAUGCGUAGCCGACCUGAGAGGGUGAUCGGCCACACUGGAACUGAGACACGGUCCAGACUCCUACGGGAGGCAGCAGUAGGGAAUCUUCCGCAAUGGGCGAAAGCCUGACGGAGCAACGCCGCGUGAGUGAUGAAGGUCUUCGGAUCGUAAAACUCUGUUAUUAGGGAAGAACAAAUGUGUAAGUAACUAUGCACGUCUUGACGGUACCUAAUCAGAAAGCCACGGCUAACUACGUG